rnacentral:rRNA from 1 species
UACGAAGGGGGCCAGCGUUGCUCGGAAUCACUGGGCGUAAAGGGUGCGUAGGCGGGUCUUUAAGUCAGGGGUGAAAUCCUGGAGCUCAACUCCAGAACUGCCUUUGAUACUGAGGAUCUUGAGUACGGGAGAGGUGAGUGGAACUGCGAGUGUAGAGGUGAAAUUCGUAGAUAUUCGCAAGAACACCAGUGGCGAAGGCGGCUCACUGGCCCGUUACUGACGCUGAGGCACGAAAGCGUGGGGAGCAAACAGG